rnacentral:lncRNA from 1 species
UUUCCAGUAAGUGCCACUUUAGAUUAUAUCCCAUUUUGUGUGGUGUCCUAUAUCAGUUAAACCCACCAUAUUCAUUGUAUAAAUCAAAUUUUUCAUAUACUUACUGUAUUUGUCCGUUUUCACGCUGCUGAUAAAGACAUACCCAAGACUGAGUAAUUUAUAAAGUAAAAGAGGUUUGAUGGACUCACAGUUCCAUGUGGCUGGGGAGGCCUCACAAUCAUGGUGGGUGAAAGGCACUUCUGACAUGCUGGUGGCAAGAGAGAAUCAGAGCACCAAGCAAAAAGGAAACCCCUUGUCAAAUCACCAGAUCUCAUGAGACUUAUUCACUACCAUGAGAACAGUAUCAGGGAAACCCCUCCCAAGAUUCAGUUAUCUCCCACUGGGUCCCUCCCACAUGUGGGAAUUAUGGGAGCUGCAAUUCAAGAUGAGAUUUGGGUGGGGACACAGCCAAACCAGAUCACUUACCAAUUAUGUGCUGUCCUGCUCUAUCAAUUCCUAAGAAAAGUGUGCAAAAAUUUCCAAAUGGUAAUGUGGAUUUGUAGUUUAUUCCUCUAAUUGUCCUAUUUUGUAUAAUACAUUCUUUGGUCUAUGUUAAUUUGAAAUUUUGAACAUAGAAUCAUUAUAUCUUCAUAGAAAAUUGUACUUUUAUCCCUAUAUAAUGACCCUUUUUAUUCCUAAUGAUGGUUUCCCUAAAGCUUAUGUUACCCAAUUAAUGUUUGCCAGGUAUAUAUUUUUCCACUCAUACUCACUUUUUAUAACAUUUUUAUGCAUUUACUUUAUAAACAUAUACAUGGAAUAUUUUAAAGCAUAAUGCGACAUUCUGCUUUUAAACCGAUGAGUUUAUAUGAUUUGUGAUUAUUGAUACAGUUGGCUGGGUGCGGUGGCUCACGCCUGUAAUCCCAGCAUUUUGGGAAGCCGAGGCAGGCAGAUUACUAGGUCAGGAGAUCGAGACCAUCCUGGCUAACAUGGUGAACCCCCGUCUCUACUAAAAAUACAAAAAAUUAGCCGGGUGUGGUGGUGGGUGCCUGUAAUCCCAGCUACUCAGGAGGCUGAGGCAGGAGAAUGGCGUGAACCCGUGAGGCAGAGCUUGCAGUGAGCUGAGAUCGCGCCACUGCACUCCAGCCUGGGCGACAGAGCGAGACUCCGCUCAAAAAAAAAAAAAAAAAAAAAAGAUUAUUGAUACAGUUAUGUUUAUUUCUAUCAUUUUACUUUUUGCUUUCCAUUGGCCUUGUGUUUUUUGUCCCUUAUUAUUUUCUAUCUUCUUUUGGAUUUAAUCAAGCUUUCUCACUUCCGUUUUCAAUAGCUAUUCUUUAAGUGUUAAUGUUAAGGUGUUUGCUAUGUAUACAAGACUGAACAAAGUCUAAAGGUAAUCACUUAAUCUGCUCUCUCCAUAACCAACAGAGAGGCAUCCCAAUUUUUUUUUUUUUUUUUUUUUUUUUUUUUGAGGCAGAGUUUUGCUCUUCUUACCCAGGCUGGAGUGUGAUGGCGUGAUCUCGGCUCACUGCAACCUCUUCCUCCCAGGUUCAAGCAAUUCUCCUGCCUCAGCCUCCUGAGUAGCUGGGAUUACAGGUGCCUGACACCACGCCCAGCUAAUUUUUGUAUUUUUAGUAGAGACGGGGGUUUCUCCAUGUUGGUCGGGCUGGUCUCGAACUCCUGACCUCAGGUGAUCCACCAGCCUCGGCCUCCCAAAGUGCUGGGAUUACAGGUGUGAGCCACCACGCCUGGCUCCAAUUUUUUUUUUUUUUUUUUUUUUGAGACAGAGUUUUCACUCUUGUUGCCCAGGCUGGAAUGCAGUGGCACAGUCUUGGCUCACUACAACUUCCACCUCCCAGGUUCAAGCGAUUCUCCUGCCUCAGCCUCCCAAGUAGCUGGGAUUACAGACACCCACCACCACAGCUGGCUAAUUUUUUGUAUUUAGUAGAGAGAGGGUUUCACCAUGUUGGUCUGGCUGGUCUGGAAUUCCUGACCUCAGGUGAUCUGUCUGCCUUGGCCUCCCAAAGUGCUGGGAUUACAGUCGUGAGCCACUGCACCCAGCGUCCCAACAUUUUUAUCUCUGAUCAUCCUGAACACAUACCAUGUUACUCACUGUUUUAGUUCUGCGUUAUUUUUGUUGCAUAACCAGUAACAUAACAUUAUUAUUGUUAGUUUACAUAGCCAAUACUAGUUUAGGUUCACAUGUAUUACCUCCUGGCUUCACCCACUACUUUUCUCUGAUGGCAAUCUUUGGAAGUUCCUUCAUUGAGGGUUUAUUAGUGGUAAACUCUUUAUCUUUGCUGUGGUGCAGUGUCUAGAAUUUUUGUUAAGUGAAGGUUUUACAUUUAAAUCUUCAUCUAUUAAGUUUGAAUAUGGGAUGAGUUAUGGAUUGAGGUUCAUUUGUUUUGUAUAUUGAUUUUCAAUUGUUGCAGCACCAUUUUUUUAAACCACUAUUUUCAUUGAUUUGCCCUUGCAACUUUGUCAAAAAUCAAUUGACCAUAUACACCGAAGGUCUAUUUAUGUAUUCUCAAUUAUGGUCCAUGAUCUAUGUGUUUAUCCUUUCUCUGACACAAUGUUUAGAUUGCUGUAUCUUUACAGUAAGUUUCGAAGUCAGGGAGUGCGAGUCUUCCAACUUUGUUCUUCUUUGACAAAAGAUGUUUUGGCUAUUCUAGUUUCUUCUGCUUUUCCAAAUAAAUUUGAUUAACUUGUUAAUGUCUACAAAAACUCCUGCUGGAAUUUCCAUUGGGAUCGCAAUAAAUUUAUAGGUAAAUCUAGAGAGAACUGACAUUCUACUAUUUAUUGUUUCAAACCACAAAUAUGAUACAUAUUUCCAUUUAUUUAGGAUUUGGAUUUCCCUUAUUUCUCUCAUAAGCAUUUUGACGUUUUCAACAUACAGAUCUUUUAUAACAACACUUACCCACUUCCCACCAUUCUACCCCCAUUCCUAAACCUUGGCAACACAAGAAUCUGUCCUCCAUUAAAAAUGUUAUGAUUUCAGAAAUGUUAUAUAAAUGGAAUAAUACAAUAUGCAUCCUUAUGGGACUGAUUUCUUGCAUUUGGUGUAUUUCUCUAGAGAUUAAUCCAAGUUUUUGUGUGUAUCAUCAGUAGUCCAUUUAUUUUCCUGAAUAGCAUUCCAUAUGUGUGUGCCACAAUUUGUUUAACCAUUUACCUUAUUCUCAGUUUUUGGCUGUUCAAAUAAACUGAUAUUAAUCUGUG